UGGGUUGUGGCUCAGUGGUAGAGCACUCUCCUAGCAUGUGUGAAGCCCUGAGUUCAAUCCUCAGCAUCACAU
rnacentral:tRNA from 1 species